ensembl:lincRNA
UACACAGAGAAACCCUGUCUCGANNNNNNNNNNNNNNNNNNNNAAAAAAAAAAAAAAAAAAAAAAGCUUGCUGGUGGUGCAUUGCUGGUGGUGCAGAAAGAAGUCUGGUCACAACUGGGUACAGCAAACGAGCUGGGUACCCCAAAGAUAUCUCACCAGUUCUAGUUGGAGAUCUGAUCUACUUGCACCUGCAUCACACCCAGACCCUCAAGCCUCGCUGAAAGGGUGCCGCAGACCCUCUGGGCCCCUUUGUCUGUGUGGAACGGGUCUCUAGUGGACAAAGUGUCGGAUGAAUUGACAAACAGAUGCACACAGGAGAGGUUGUGUUGGAUCUGAAUGUAAUGUCAAAUCAAGCAUCAGACUUUUUAUGCAGAAGACAAUAAGGAAGUUGGGUGACAUUCACAAGGUACAAAUGAGGUAACCAGAAUCUUACAUAAAACAGAGGAAUGUGAACACAAAAGGUCUAAUGGGAACCACCUGGGAUAGAAUUCAUUGUUAACAACUGGGAUCAAAAAGGGCUCCACCUAAGAUUCGUUUAAUCUUAGAAGCCAGGGUCAAGGGCUUCGUGCCCUUGCCAUAGUUCCUAUUUUAGUCUAUUGUAUNNNNNNNNNNNNNNNNNNNNNNNNNNNNNNNNNNNNNNNNNNNNNNNNNNNNNNNNNNNNNNGGGAGUUCCUUUCUAGUUAACCAUUUCAUGAAUAAUGCAAUACUCUAAAACCACAGCCCGAUCUACUUCCUAAACCAUUGUAAAUUCCUGUAUAUGGGAGCCACUUGGCUUUUAUUGAUAGUGUAAUACCAGAGGCUAAAUGUCACUGUCUAGCUCAAGGACAUUCUAGGAAUGUUGGAACACUGGCGGAAGCCUUUAGCUAUGUCAGAAUUCAUUCUUAAAAGGCACUUAUAAUAAAGAGAGCACGUGGAUCCAUCCACUAGACUAACGUGGGAAUGGAAAAUUUACAGAGCACGCCAAACUCCAGGAGCGAGUUUCCAUGAAACUCUUUUGCCUCGAGAGUAGCUUUCAAGCCUCUCGGCUUGUCAAGCUGAUUCGACCAGAGCGCGUGGCAAAAGGGUCCCUGCCUAGUCCUGUUUCCUACCCCUUCUUAUCCUGUUUUUGUUCUUAACCUUUGGCCCAUGUAUCCUUAAUUGUAGAGUAGAAGUUUAUAUACUUAGACAACAAUAUCAGUAACUGUAACAAAAGUGAGAUAUCAUUUCAGGAUUGAAAUGUACCUGGGAAAAGGGGGGUGGGAAUGUAAUAUCCAAAAUGAAUUCAAGACCACCCAAUACCUUCCCCCUUCGAAAAGAAAUUUCCAAACUGUACUAGCAGGCAAAGUGCAGAUCCAAAUAAGGAAGCUGACUAAACAAAUGUAAAAACAUAGUUUUAGCGGUCAAAAUGAUUAAGCCUGCAGCUACCAAAAUGAUAUUAGCUGUUCUCAAAGAAAUAGCCAUAACAAGAUUAGCAAUUCUACUGUCUCCUCCCUUCUGACAUGGGUUAAAUGUUAACCAUACGCUCUGCUGACACAGAUAAGCACCUGCGCCCUUCAGAAUUGCUGUUACCUUGAUCUGCACGUACAAUUUGCUGAUGUUUAUACUGUCCAAUUGUGUGUAACUGUGCCAAUUUCCCCUAUCCCCCGACUUUUUUCCUAUAUAAACACCUAACUUUUGAGCCUCAGGGUCGACUCCUCUGUCUCCUGCUAGAGAUAUAUGUCAGCCGAAGCUCCGUCAUUAAACUGCCUUGUGUGUUUGCA